rnacentral:misc_RNA from 1 species
UUUUCAUAAUGAACAAGAGUAUCCUUCAUUGAAGCCUUGUAGUCUCAGUCAACUAGAAGUUUCAGUUGGCAACACUGUCCCUAUGCUUGGAUGUCAUUAUAGACAACCAGCAGCUUUGCCUCGUCAAAGUUCACAGAUCAAACGACGGUGGUCCAAAUCUAGGAUUAAAAUAUGACCGGCCUGCUCCUGAAAGGGGACAGACUGUGCGUUCCGUAGGUGAACCUGCGGAAGGAUCAUUACUGAGAACUUGCCCUUAGGGGUAGAUCUCCCACCCUAUGUUUACAUACUUUGUUGCUUUGGCAGGCCUGCCUUUUGGCUGCUGGCUUCGGCUAGUUAGUGUCUGCCAGAGAACCAACACUAUGAUUAAUUUAACGUCAGAGUACUAUUCAAUAGUUAAAACUUUCAACAACGGAUCUCUUGGUUCUG